GAGGGUAGAGCUCAGGGGAAGAGCAUGUGCUUUGUACGCACGAGGCCCUGGGCUCUAUCCCCAGUGCCUCCA
rnacentral:tRNA from 1 species